rnacentral:rRNA from 1 species
UACCCGCAGCCCAAGUGGUGGUCGAUUUUAUUGAGUCUAAAACGUUCGUAGCCGGUUCACUAAAUCCUUGGGUAAAUCGGGAAGCUUAACUUUCCGACUUCCGAGGAGACUGGUGAACUUGGGACCGGGAGAGGCAAGAGGUACUUCUGGGGUAGGGGUAAAAUCCUGUAAUCCUAGAAGGACCACCGGUGGCGAAGGCGUCUUGCUAGAACGGAUCCGACGGUGAGGGACGAAGCCCUGGGUCGCAAAC